AGAUUGAACGCUGGCGGCAUGCCUUACACAUGCAAGUCGAACGGCAGCACGGGAGCAAUCCUGGUGGCGAGUGGCGAACGGGUGAGUAAUACAUCGGAACGUGCCCAAUCGUGGGGGAUAACGCAGCGAAAGCUGUGCUAAUACCGCAUAAGAUCUACGGAUGAAAGCAGGGGAUCGCAAGACCUUGCGCGAAUGGAGCGGCCGAUGGCAGAUUAGGUAGUUGGUGAGGUAAAGGCUCACCAAGCCUUCGAUCUGUAGCUGGUCUGAGAGGACGACCAGCCACACUGGGACUGAGACACGGCCCAGACUCCUACGGGAGGCAGCAGUGGGGAAUUUUGGACAAUGGGCGAAAGCCUGAUCCAGCCAUGCCGCGUGCAGGAUGAAGGCCUUCGGUGUAAACGUGUCUUUGUACGGAACGAAAGUACUACUUUACUAAUAAAGAGGAUACAUGACGUACCGUAAGAAUAAGACGACCGACUAACUACGUACG
rnacentral:rRNA from 1 species